rnacentral:rRNA from 1 species
CCUACGGGAGGCAGCAGUGGGGAAUAUUGCGCAAUGGGGGGAACCCUGACGCAGCCAUGCCGCGUGAAUGAAGAAGGCCUUAGGGUUGUAAAGUUCUUUCGGUAUUGAGGAAGGUUGAUGUGUUAAUAGCACAUCAAAUUGACGUUAAAUACAGAAGAAGCACCGGCUAACUCCGUGCCAGCAGCCGCGGUAAUACGGAGGGUGCGAGCGUUAAUCGGAAUAACUGGGCGUAAAGGGCACGCAGGCGGUUAUUUAAGUGAGGUGUGAAAGCCCCGGGCUUAACCUGGGAAUUGCAUUUCAGACUGGGUAACUAGAGUACUUUAGGGAGGGGUAGAAUUCCACGUGUAGCGGUGAAAUGCGUAGAGAUGUGGAGGAAUACCGAAGGCGAAGGCAGCCCCUUGGGAAUGUACUGACGCUCAUGUGCGAAAGCGUGGGGAGCAAACAGGAUUAGAUACCCGCGUAGU